AGUAACACGUGGAUAACCUACCUAUAAGACUUGGAUAACUUCGGGAAACCGGAGCUAAUACCGGAUAAUAUUUUGAACCGCAUGGUUCAAAAGUGAAAGACGGUCUUGCUGUCACUUAUAGAUGGAUCCGCGCUGCAUUAGCUAGUUGGUAAUGUAACGGCUUACCAAGGCAACGAUGCAUAGCCGACCUGAGAGGGUGAUCGGCCACACUGGAACUGAGACACGGUCCAG
rnacentral:rRNA from 1 species